GCCUUUUAUCGCCGAUGGGACUAUACACAAGAGUAUGGGAGAGUAGGUCGUCGCCAAGC
rnacentral:rRNA from 1 species